GAUGAAGAACGUAGCGAAAUGCGAUAAGUAAUGUGAAUUGCAGAAUUCAGUGAAUCAUCGAAUCUCUGAACGCACAUUGCGCCCCUUGGUAUUCCGAGGGGCAUGCCUGUUCGAGCGUCAUUAUAACCCCUCAAGCUCAGCUUGGUGUUGGGGCCUGCUGCACUGGCAGCCCUUAAAAUCAGUGGCGGCGCCAUCUGGCUCUAAGCGUAGUAAUUCUUCUCGCUAUGGAGUCCUGGUGGAUGCUUGCCAUCAACCCCCAAUUUUUCUAUGGUUGACCUCGGAUCAAGUAGGGAUACCCGCUGAACUUAAGCAUAUCAAUAAGCGGAGA
rnacentral:misc_RNA from 1 species